UGGGGAAUAUUGGGCAAUGGGCGCAAGCCUGACCCAGCAACGCCGCGUGAGGGAAGAAGGUUUUCGGAUUGUAAACCUCUGUCCUUGAUGAAAAGAAGAAGAUGGUAAUCGAGGAGGAAGCCCCGGCUAACUACGUGCCAGCAGCCGCGGUAAUACGUAGGGGGCGAGCGUUGUCCGGAAUGAUUGGGCGUAAAGGGCGUGUAGGCGGCUUGGUAAGUCUGGAGUGAAAGUCCUGCUUUCAAGGUGGGAAUUGCUUUGGAUACUGUCGAGCUUGAGUGCAGGAGAGGUUAUCGGAAUUCCCGGUGUAGCGGUGAAAUGCGUAGAGAUCGGGAGGAACACCAGUGGCGAAGGCGGGUAACUGGACUGCAACUGACGCUGAGGCGCGAAAGUGUGGGGAGCAAACAGG
rnacentral:rRNA from 1 species